UUUCACAGGAGGCCACUGAGUGUGAAGGAAGGGAUGUCAGUGUGCAGCUACCUCCAGAACACUACAGGUUGCCAGAGUUUCACUCCCACAAUUUGGGGUUAAGAUACGGAGCAGAUGCAAGGCGAAGAAAAGGAGAAUCUCUGCUACAGAUGUCCUGGGUAAGACACAACAUGGUACCAGUUAACUCAAUGAUUUUUUUACUGCUGGGAAAGUGGAGCAAAAGUUCUGGUAAGGGAAGGGACAGUGUUCAACUUUGCCUCUCACAGGGAAGAAGGGUGGAAUAGGAUGUCAGCUUCCUGGAUCAGAAAAAAAGGUUGGGAACUACUAAAUUAGCUGAUUAACAUACAAAUGUGUGCUAUCAUAUUAA
rnacentral:lncRNA from 1 species